rnacentral:rRNA from 1 species
CAGCCGUAAACUAUGCGCGUUAGGUGUAUCGGUGACCACGAGUCACCGAGGUGCCGAAGGGAAACCGUGAAACGUGCCGCCUGGGAAGUACGGUCGCAAGGCUGAAACUUAAAGGAAUUGGCGGGGGAGCACCGCAACGGGAGGAGCGUGCGGUUUAAUUGGAUUCAACGCCGAAAAACUCACCAGCAGCGACUGUUACGUGAAAGUCAGGUUGAUGACCUUACUAGAUUUUCAGAGAGGAGGUGCAUGGCGUCAGUGACU